rnacentral:rRNA from 1 species
CCUACGGGUGGCAGCAGUGAGGAAUAUUGGUCAAUGGUCGGGAGACUGAACCAGCCAAGCCGCGUGAGGGAUGAAGGUACAGAGUAUCGUAAACCUCUUUUGUCAGGGAACAAAGGCGGGGACGUGUCCCCGGAUGAGUGUACCUGAAGAAAAAGCAUCGGCUAACUCCGUGCCAGCAGCCGCGGUAAUACGGAGGAGGCGCGCGUUAACCGGAUGUAUUGGGUUGAAAGGGUUCGCAGGCGGUCUUUUAAGUCAGAGGUAAAAGCCCGGGGCUCAACCCCGGCCCGCCGUUGAAACUGGCAGUCUCGAGUUGGAGAGAAGUAUGCGGAAUGCGCGGUGUAGCGGUGAAAUGCAUAGAUAUCGCGCAGAACUCCGAUUGCGAAGGCAGCAUGCCGGCUCCACACUGACGCUGAGGCACGAAAGCGUGGGUAUCGAACAGGAUUAGAUACCCGGGUAGUC